UUUACUUGGAUAACUGUGGUAAUUCUAGAGCUAAUACAUGCAAAGAGAGCUCCAACCGGAGACGGAAGGAACGCUUUUAUUAUACCAAAACCUAUCGGUGGUUGGGCUGGCUCAACAUCGUAAACCUGAUGAAUCUAAAUAACUCGCAGAUCGCACGGUCUCGCACCGGCGACGCAUCUUUCAGGUGCCUGACUUAUCAACUUUCGAUGGUAUAGUAUUUGUGUACCAUGGUUAUAACGGGUACGGGGAAUCAGGGUUCGAUUCCGGAGAGGGAGCCUGAGACACAGCUACCACAUCUAAGGAAGGCAGCAGGCGCGUAACUUACCCACUCCCGGCACGGGGAGGUAGUGACGAAAAAUAACGAUACGGGACUCAUCCGAGGCCCCGUAAUCGGAAUGAGAACACUGUAAAUAUUUUAUCGAGGAUCAAUUGGAGGGCAAGUCUGGUGCCAGCAGCCGCGGUAAUUCCAGCUCCAAUAGCGUAUAUUAAAAUUGUUGCGGUUAAAAAGCUCGUAGUCUGAAUUGUGUCCCGGGCCGCCGAUGCAUCGUUCGCGGUGUGUUGGCGUGUUGCGGGGCAUCUUGCCGGCGGAUUCGUCUUAACGGGCGUUUCCAUAACCCUAUCGCGGUGCUCUUCAUUGAGUGUCGAGAUGGGCCGGUGCGUUUACUUUGAACAAAUUAGAGUGCUUAAAGCAGGCCAAAAUUUUGCUUGAAUAACUGGUGCAUGGUAUAAUACAACAGGUCCUCGAUCCUAAUUUAUUAGGUUUGCGGGGUCGAGGAAAUGAUCAACAGAAACGGAUGAGGGCAUUCGUAUUGCGACGUUAGAGGUGAAAUUCUUGGAUCGUCGCAAGACGGACGAAGGCGAAGGCAAGUACGUGUUCGUUGAUCAAGAACGAAAGUUAGAGGUUCGAAGGCGAUCAGAUACCGCCCUAGUUCUAACCAUAAACUAUGCCAGCUAGCAAUCCGUCGAAGUUCCUCCGAAGACUCGGCGGGCGGCUUACGGGAAACCAAAGCCUUUGGGUUCCGGGGGAAGUAUGGUUGCAAUGCUGAAACUUAAAGGAAUUGACGGAAGGGCACCACCAGGAGUGGAGCCUGCGGCUUAAUUUGACUCAACACGGGACAACUUACCAGGCCCGGACACCGGAAGGAUGGACAGAUUGAGAGCUCUUUCUUGAUUCGGUGGGUGGUGGUGCAUGGCCGUUCUUAGUUGGUGGUGUGGAUUGUCUGGUUAAUUCCGAUAACGAACGAGACUCUAGCUUGCUAAGUAGACGUACUCGACAUCUCAAAGGUCCGGCUGCUUGGCUUUCGGGUCUUGCAGUGCGGGAUUUUUACUGUCGGCGUACUAAUAUACUCUUCUUAGAGGGACUGGUGGCUUCGAGUCGCACGAAAAAGAGCAAUAACAGGUCUGUGAUGCCCUUAGAUGUCCUGGGCCGCACGCGCGCUACACUGAAGGAAUCAGCGUGUCUUCCUUGGCCGAGAGGCUCGGGUAACCCGUUGAAACUCCUUCGUGCCAGGGAUUGGGGCUUGUAAUUGUUCCCCAUGAACGAGGAAUUCCCAGUAAGCGCGUGUCAUAAGCACGCGCUGAUUACGUCCCUGCCCUUUGUACACACCGCCCGUCGCUACUACCGAUUGGAUGGUAUAGUGAGGUCUUCGGACUGGUACGGGGUGACGUUUCGGCGUGACCCAUGUAGCCGGGAAGUUGCCCGAACUAUGUCAUUUAGAGGAAGUAAAAGU
rnacentral:rRNA from 1 species